GACGAACGCUGGCGGCGUGCUAACACAUGCAAGUCGAACGGUAAGGCCUUCGGGUACACGCGUGGCGAACGGGUGAGUAACACGUGGGUGAUCUGCCCCCUACUCUGGGAUAAGCCUGGGAAACUGGGUCUAAUACCGGAUAUGACCUCCUUCUGCAUGGUUGGUGGUGGAAAGUUUUUGCGGUAGGGGAUGAGCCCGCGGCCUAUCAGCUUGUUGGUGGGGUAAUGGCCUACCAAGGCGACGACGGGUAGCCGGCCUGAGAGGGCGACCGGCCACACUGGGAAUGAGACACGGCCCAGACUCCUACGGGAGGCAGCAGUGGGGAAUAUUGCACAAUGGGCGAAAGCCUGAUGCAGCGACGCCGCGUGGGGGAUGACGGCCUUCGGGUUGUAAACCCCUUUCAGUCGGGACGAAGCGAGAGUGACGGUACCGAUAGAAGAAGCACCGGCCAACUACGUGCCAGCAGCCGCAGUAAUAC
rnacentral:rRNA from 1 species